rnacentral:rRNA from 1 species
UACGUAGGGGCAAGCGUUGUUCGGAUUCAUUGGGCGUAAAGGGUGCGUAGGUGGCGCGGUAGUCGGGUGUGAAAUUUCGGAAGCUUACUCCGAAACUGCAUUCGAUACUGACCGUGCUUGAGGACUGGAGAGGAGACUGGAAUUUACGGUGAGCGGUGAAAUGCGUAGAUAGUCGUAACGGAAGACCAGUGGCGAAGGCGGGUCUCGUGGAACGCAACUGACGCUGAGAACGCGGAAAGCGUGGGGAGCAAACACGGAU